AUUGAACGCUGGCGGCAGGCCUAACACAUGCAAGUCGAACGAGUGGCGGAAGGGUGAGUAAUGUCUGGGAACCUGCCUGAUGGAGGGGGAUAACUACUGGAAACGGUAGCUAAUACCGCAUACCAUCGGAUGUGCCCCGAUGGGCUUAGCUAGUAGGUGGGGUAAAGGCUCACCUAGGCGACGAUCCCUAGAUGGUCUGAGAGGAUGACCACGCACACUGGAACUGAGACACGGUCCAGACUCCUACGGGAGGCAGCAGUUGGGAAUAUGGCACAAUGGGCGAAAGCCUGAUGCAGCCAUGCCGCGUGGAUGUAGAGGGCCUUCGGGUUGUAAAAUACUUUCGGCGGGGAGACGUUACCCUCAGAAGAAGCACCGGCUAACUCCGUGCCAGCAGCCGCGGUAAUUC
rnacentral:rRNA from 1 species